CCUACGGGUGGCAGCAGUGGGGAAUAUUGGGCAAUGGGCGCAAGCCUGACCCAGCAACGCCGCGUGAAGGAAGAAGGCUUUCGGGUUGUAAACUUCUUUUCUCAGGGACGAAGGAAGUGACGGUACCUGAGGAAGAAGCCACGGCUAACUACGUGCCAGCAGCCGCGGUAAUACGUAGGUGGCAAGCGUUAUCCGGAUUUACUGGGUGUAAAGGGCGUGUAGGCGGGACUGCAAGUCUGAUGUGAAAACCACGGGCUCAACCUGUGGCCUGCAUUUGAAACUGUAGUUCUUGAGUACUGGAGAGGCAAGCGGAAUUCCUAGUGUAGCGGUGAAAUGCGUAGAGAUUAGGAGGAACACCAGUGGCGGAGGCGGUCUGCUGGACGGCAACUGACGCUGAGGCGCGAAAGCGUGGGGAGCAAACAGGAUUAGAUACCCUUGUAGUC
rnacentral:rRNA from 1 species